CCUGAGGUCCCUGGGAGGAACAUGAAUCUCUCCUCAUAAGUCUGCAUAUUUCCCGUCUCUGCUCCCUUAAGGUCUCUGACUUCCAGCCAGGGAGGACAGAUUGUCUAGAGGCUGUUGCAGGCUCAGCACCCACAGGUGGAACCAGUUUUUCAAGAGUGCCAACGCAUGCCGAACAAAUUCAAGACUUAUUUCCCAAAUGUUUCCAAUGGGACAAUGACGCUUGUUUGGCAUCCAGAAGACAUGCUCAUAACGGGACAUUUGAACUCCUUGUGUAGCUGUUUACUUCAUGGGCCCAUUUACCUUGUCUUCACUGGUGAUGUCUGCUGAUCUAAUGUCCCAUAUUUUAAAAUAUUUUUGGUAUAUCUGUAAGACAAAACAGAAGUGCUCAAAGCAGGGCACAGCACUCUAAGAAGUGGAUAGAUCAGAUAUGCUUCAGUAGAGCAAACAGCUUUUAUUACAGACUAAAUAGUUUAGGAUUAUUCCAGCCAAGAAACAAGCUGAAAUAGAUGAAUGGAUUGUCCCACUGGUGCUCCAUCAUGUCCAGUGACAUUCUAAAACUUCCCAGAAACCUGUGCUUUCCUGAGCUGUGCCAGGGACUGUGGAAAGGUUUGUGGAGGAACUUUCACCUUUGUAACUUAGCAAAGGAGUUAUGUGAAUGCUAGCACUCCCGUGCUCAGAUCUUAAACCAAUUUAGUGCGUUUAACUGCUGCUAAACUGGUUCCUGACACCAGCUCUAAGUGCCUGGAAUCACUUGUUGCAGAGAUGACAUCUUCCAUAUGUAAAUUUAUACAAUGUAUCUAUAUGGCUUAUUCCUAAUAAAAAAUUUUACAGGCAUUCAUUUGCAAGUGGUUACUAAUAUGAACAUGCAAGAUCCAGUGCAAAGUUCAAUUCAGAGUUUUCUUUAUUAAAAUACCUUUUCACAUUCCUUAUACUAAUGCAUUUUAUGGACGCUCCUGGGAUGCUGGAAAGAACAUUUGUCAACAGAAGAGUGCUAUGAAGUCAGUCAUUUGUGAAAGGCUUAUGAUACAAACAACAUUUGCAUAGGGAACAAUAAAUUAGAGAUAUUGGCCAGUAACUGGAGCUUGAAAAUUUAAACAUUUGGAAUGAGGAUAUAAAACCCUUUUGUAUUUCUUGCUGGUUUUGCACCUUUGAUGUAAUGCUUAAAGCAGUAACUAUAUAUGUAUAUACAAAUCCAUGUCCUCUCUUUCACUGUUUUCUAAUUAAAAUGAGAACCUUCUUACCUGUGGCCCAGAUCUUGUAGUAAUUUAAUCUGCAGUAAGAAAAGGAGAGUAAUUGCAGUGUCAAAGACCAGCUGGUUAAGGGGUUGGGGACAGUACUUUUUCUGUUUUGUUUUGUGUUCUUUUUUUAAACUAAUGCAACUGAGAUAAAUGCGGGCUGCAAAGAUUAGA
rnacentral:lncRNA from 1 species